rnacentral:rRNA from 1 species
GAUGAACGCUGGCGGCGUGCCUAAUACAUGCAAGUCGAACGCGCAGCGAGAGGUGCUUGCACCUUUCAAGCGAGUGGCGAACGGGUGAGUAACACGUGGAUAACCUGCCUCAAGGCUGGGGAUAACAUUUGGAAACAGAUGCUAAUACCGAAUAAAACUUAGUAUCGCAUGAUAUCAAGUUAAAAGGCGCUACGGCGUCACCUAGAGAUGGAUCCGCGGUGCAUUAGUUAGUUGGUGGGGUAAAGGCUUACCAAGACGAUGAUGCAUAGCCGGGGUGAGGGACUGAUCGGCCACAUUGGGACUGAGACACGGCCCAAACUCCUACGGGAGGCUGCAGUAGGGAAUCUUCCACAAUGGGCGCAAGCCUGAUGGAGCAACGCCGCGUGUGUGAUGAAGGCUUUCGGGUCGUAAAGCACUGUUGUAUGGGAAGAAAUGCUAAAAUAGGGAAUGAUUUUAGUUUGACGGUACCAUACCAGAAAGGGACGGCUAAAUACGUGCCAGCAGCCGCCGUAA